GGGCGAUUGGCGAAAUCGGUAGACGCAACGGACUCAAAAUCCGUCGGGAAACCAUGUCGGUUCGAGUCCGACAUCGCCCACCA
rnacentral:tRNA from 1 species